rnacentral:siRNA from 1 species
UGCAUUUAGGAUUUCUCAUUUG